UUGAUGAAACGCAAAUAGAGACGUUGUAAUAUUUAGUCUCACCUACCAUAUUUAUUCAAAUUGUACCAACUUUACUUAUUUAACUCGUUACCUUACUUCUUGUUUUGUUAAACUUCUUUCUUUUGCUCGACAAAUAAAUAAGAGGUUUAUACUACCAGCAUCCUAAAUGUUCCAUCUUCAAGUAAUGCCUGCAAGAUUGAGGAUGAUGAUUUUCAUUUGAACAAUUACAACUACUAUGAUUUUCUUGAUUAAGUAAGGGAUCUGAUAUACAUUGUAGACUUCUUACAAUGUAUAAACAAACUUUUGAUUCAGUGUUGACGGUCAAUAGCACUUUUACAGUAUCAAACUUCCAAGUAUCCGUGAAUGAUUUGUUGUUCAAGCCUUCUGAUCACAAAUUCAUGUUGACUUUUAGUGGCGGCACAUCUGUAACUGACAUUAACAAGCAUGAGAUACCUCCUAAACCCUUGAAAUUCACACCUUUUGCUGAUAUUCUUACUGGAAAAUGGAAAGGGAUGUUUUAAUAGAUGUAAUAGGAAUGGUUUCAAAUAUUGGCUACACCUAAAUUCAAGAUGGAAACAAGAAACAACAGAUUAAUUUAGUCUUGAAGGAUUUAGGUGAUAACAUUCUUAAUUGUACUUUGUGGAAGGGAUAUGCAAUGCAAUUCCAUGAUUUCAAUAAACAAAGGAAAGAUUUAUCUUCACCAAUUGUUAUUGUGUUGCAAUUUGCUAAGGUCAAAGAGGAAGGAAAAUAUCCUAUACGUGUUUCAAACACAUUUAACGUAACAAUGUUGCACAUCAAUUCAGAACCCUAUGUUCUGUCUGGUGGAAUUAGUGAAUCAUUAUUGAAGGUGAAUUUCAUGGCAGACUGGGUAUUCUGUUUAAAAUAGGUUGCUGAUGGUGAAAUAUGUAAGAGGUUUGUGAAGGAAAGCUUAUUGUUGCCAACAUGGGGGAAUUAAAGGUGUGGAUUGUGGCGUGGCUAUGUGUACCUAGUAUGGAUCUAAGCAAGAGUGGACUAUUUGAACUUUCAUGGACAAUAUGUCGUCAUGCCAGCAACUUGAUUCAUAUUGAUCCAGAUGCGAUAAACAUAUAAUAUAACAUUAAGGUAACAUAUAAUAUAACAUUAAGGUUUGAUUGGAUGAGGUACCUAGAAGGAUUACUGCAACUAUGCUGUAGCCUAUAACAACGCUUGGAAGUGGGAAGAAGCUUCAACAGAGUAGGGAUAUUAGGUUGUAUUUCAAUAUGGUGCGCAUUUUAUAUUGGAUCACACUGUACAGUUUAUGCCAUUUUCUUUAUAAUCUGAAUUUUUCAUUUGGUGGUUGUUAUAUCAACACAAUUUCGGAUUGUAUUAAUAAAUUUCGCCUUUAAGUGGGAUCCGAGACUCUUGCUGAUGCAGAAAGUAAUAACACGGAGGAUUCAUUUAUGAACUAUAAUUUCACUGCAAGAUUUAGGCUUGGAGUCUGUUGGUGUGAAAGUGGCUAAAGAUAGAUCAAUAGAGGUUGAUCGGUUCCUUCUAUUUGGGCAAUUGGAGAUGCUACAAAUAGAGUAAAGCUCGCCCCAGUUGCUUUGAUGUAGGUAGUGGCAUUAGUAAAAACAUUGUUUCAGAAUGAGCCGACAAAACUUGAUUAUAGAGCUAUUCCUUCUGCUGUGUUUUUUCAACCACCAAUUGGAGGAGUUGGUCUUACGGAGGAACAGGUGACUGACCUUUGGCAUACAACGAUCUUCUGAAUAUUUUAAUAAUCAUGCAGAUUAUGCUUUUACUGAUGUUUUGUUUAUUUGCACGAGCUGCGAAACAAUAUGGUGAUAUUGACGUUUAUACAUCAAAUUUUAGGCCGCUGAAGUCCACCCUCUCUGGGCUUCCAGACCGGGUUUUUAUGAAACUAAUAGUCUCUGCAAAAACAAAUGUAGUUAUUGUAUUGCACAUGUGUGGAGAAGAUGCUGCUGAAAUUGCGCAGGUUUUUGUUGUUGCCGCAACUGUUUUCUUAUAUUGCUCUGAUAAUGAUACAUAAGUCUCUCUAUUUGUUUCAUGUUUCUCAACUGCAUGUUCUGUUUAGUUUUUAUCUUCUUGAAAAGAUGUAUCUUACCAUUUAUGUUGCCUCAACACAGCCAUUAGCAAUGAGUUUAAUGAUCUAGAACAACAUUGUAUAUUUUUAAUUAAAAUAAAUAUAUGUGUGUGUUUGGUGAUUGUGGUACAAUAAACCAGCGAAAAUUCAUGGUACCGAUUGGCUAAUGCUAUUUUUCCAUCAUUCAUUUAAUUAACAUGUGACAUUCUUAGAGCCUAGAACCUUGCGCCACAUUUGGAUGGAUUCAUUAAUACCAAUACAAUUGAGUUUCUUUUUUGUUGUUUGAUGUUAAAAAGUAUACACUGCGCACAUCUUGUAAUUGCAACUCUUUGCGCACCUGUGUAUACUGAAUUUCUAAGCUAGCUGAAUGUAUUAAAGAUAUUUCUAUUUACUAUCUAGGAAACUGAUCAAAGUCUUCCUGAUGGUUGUUAAACUGGACUUCAUAAUUUUAGGAAGAUAUUGUAUCAAUAUUUAAGAAGACUGAUGCAUACAACUCGGGAACAAUUACGCUCAGAAUUUCAGGCGGUAAUGGAUGAGAUCUUUCAAAGAUACCCUCAGGUGGAGCUAUACCUAAAGAAUAAGCAGAUGCGUGGCAUUGCUGAUCUUUUGGAAAAAUUCAAAGGAGAUGUUGAAAAAGAAUCUAUUGAAAUUACUUUCAAAGAACUCAAAACUGCACUUUUCAAUGUGGACUCGCAGAUGAAAUUUCUUUCUGCUACAACUCAGGUGGCAUCUCAGCAAGGAGCCUACCUGGCCAAGUGUUCUGAUCGGAUGGAAGAGUGUGAAAAAAACCCAGAGGGUCCUAUUAGGUUCAGGGGAUAAGGUCGUCAUCGGUUCAAACCUUUCAGGUAACUUGCCCAUACUAACUUACCACCGUAGAUUUACUUUUAUCAUUCUCUUUAUGUUGACACGGUGAUGAAUGAUUCAAUGUUACCUCAUUAAUACACUUGAUUGUUCCCUAAGAUACAAGCAUUUCAGUCAAUUUGCUCCUUUAGGAGGGGAGCAGAUAGCUGCACAGGUACUUGGAGAUUGAGUUUCAAUUGGACACAACAGUCAAUGGUUGUGGUAUUCUGUUUAUGCAAUUAAGACUCAUAAGGCAUUCUAAUCACUAAGUUUUAUGGAUUCUUUAAUGCAAUUAACAGUAAGCAAGUCAGCUAGCGCAUAAGGGCAUUAGUAGUAUCAGACUGAAUGGGACGCUUUAUUUUUUGGAGGGACUCGAGUUAAAUCUGAAGGAAAUCAAAGUGCUCUUCAAUCUCGAAUUUAUUUUGAUAUAGGGAAUUUUCUGUUUCAAUUCCUAAUUCUUUGAAUAAGGCAAACAGACUCUCAGUUGGAAUGUCGGUGCUAGGAUUUAUUAUCAUCCUUGUCACUUUUUACUUCGUGUACAAAUUUCUUGCACACCCUUUUCCUUUUUUGUUUUUGUGAUUUUGGUAUUGGAAUUGUAAUACUUCUGCUCAAGCUUUGCUGGAAUGAACGGUAGAGUAAAUAAUCACUUUAAUACAUUAUCAUGUUUC